rnacentral:rRNA from 1 species
GAUGAACGCUGGCGGCGUGCCUAAUACAUGCAAGUCGAGCGAAUGGAUUAAGAGCUUGCUCUUAUGAAGUUAGCGGCGGACGGGUGAGUAACACGUGGGUAACCUGCCCAUAAGACUGGGAUAACUCCGGGAAACCGGGGCUAAUACCGGAUAACAUUUUGAACCGCGUGGUUCGAAAUUGAAUGGCGGCUUCGGCUGUCACUUAUGGAUGGACCCGGGUCGCAUUAGCUAGUUGGUGAGGUAACGGCUCACCAAGGCAACGAUGCGUAGCCGACCUGAGAGGGUGAUCGGCCACACUGGGACUGAGACACGGCCCAGACUCCUACGGGAGGCAGCAGUAGGGAAUCUUCCGCAAUGGACGAAAGUCUGACGGAGCAACGCCGCGUGAGUGAUGAAGGCUUUCGGGUCGUAAAACUCUGUUGUUAGGGAAGAACAAGUGCUAGUUGAAUAAGCUGGCACCUUGACGGUACCUAACCAGAAAGCCACGGCUAACUACGUGCCAGCCGCCGCCGUAA